AAUUCUAAAUUGGCCAAACGAAUAUAUAUAUCUGAUCCUCCAACAGAGAAAUGUCGUAGGUCAAUUAGAUUUCCACUCCAUGACAGACAACCAAUGCCAGUAUAAUAUCCAUAAGCUACACAAGAACACUUCUCCAAACACUGCUUUCGACAAUCUUCUUUAUUCACAUUUGACCACUCUGCAAAGUCUGGCACUUUGAUCAU